rnacentral:misc_RNA from 1 species
UUUGGAGAGAAUUCCAAGACGUGAUGCUCGGAAAGUUGUUUAUCUGCAACAUGGGGUUUUUGAUUCAUCCAUGGGUUGGAUAUCGAAUGGAGUUGUUGGUUCUCCUGCAUUUGCAGCCUAUGAUCAAGGGUAUGAUGUUUUCCUUGGAAAUUUUCGCGGACUGGUUUCGAGAGAACAUGUUGAUGGCAAUAUAUCCCCACGACAAUACUGGAGGUACUCCAUAAAUGAGCACGGGACACAAGAUAUACCUGCGAUCAUACAGAAGAUCCAUGAAAUAAAAGUUUCUGAAUUGAAAAACAGCCAAGCGGGUUUUGAGGAAGAGUUUGAGAGUGAUCAACCAUACAAGCUCUGUGCUAUUUCCCAUAGUUUGGGUGGAGCUGCUAUUCUGAUGUAUGUCAUUACCCAGCGAAUUGAGGAAAAACCCCAUAGGAUUUCAAGAUUAAUCUUGUUAUCACCUGCUGGCUUCCAUCAUGAUUCAAAUAUUGUUUUCACGGUUAUGGAGUACGUGUUCCUAGUGUUAUCUCCUUUACUGAUGCCCUUUGUGCCAGCUUUCUAUAUACCUACUCGUUUUUUCCGCAUGCUGGUCAAUAAGUUGGCACGGGACUUCCAUAACUUACCUGCAGUUGGAGGCCUUGUGCAAACCCUGAUAAGUUAUGUGGUUGGUGGAGACAGUUCAAACUGGGUUGGAGCUCUGGGGUUAUCACAUUACAAUAUGAAUGAUAUGCCAGCUGUUUCAUUCCGUGUGGCCCUUCAUUUGGCACAGAUCAAGAACACUCGGAAGUUUAUGAUGUUUGACUAUGGGAGUGCAGCUGCGAACAUGAAAGCUUAUGGUUCCCCUCAUCCUUUAGAUUUGGGGGAGUUCUAUUCCCUUAUUGAUAUUCCGGUUGAUCUUGUUGCUGGGCGUAAGGACAAGGUCAUCAGGCCGUCCAUGGUAAGGAAGCAUUAUAAGCUGAUGAAGGAUGCAGGUGUGGAGGUGUCAUAUAAUGAGUUUGAGUAUGCUCAUUUGGAUUUUACAUUUUCCCACCAUGAAGAACUAUUGGCCUAUGUUAUGUCUCGAUUAAUUUUAGUAGAUGCUUCUAUGAAGCAGCAACCUGGCCAGAAAUCAUUGAAGAACAGGAGAAAAGAGGGGCAAACCAGCAGCAGCCGUUAAAGUGUAGCACUAACAAGAGCCGUACCUGUCUAUAUCUUGGGUGUUUCUUGUAAUCCAUGUAUGUCACUUAUACAGAAAAAUAUAGUGAAUGCUGAAUCAGGAUAGGACACUUAUGCGGCCCCUUAUUGACAUUACCAAAGCCUACUCAAGGAAAUAGAAUUGGGUUGGAUGUUGUGUCCUAGUGUGUUGGAUGUGGUUUUGUGUAUAUUCUGUAUGUAUGUUGUAACUUGUAAAGGUGUACCAUUGUUUUGGAAUGAGUACUACACAUGGUGUUUAGUGUGUAAAUUAGUACUUUGUAGGAUUUGAGAACUAUGAAAUUUGUAUGAAUGGGCAUGAUGCAAGAUACAAA